rnacentral:rRNA from 2 species
AACGAACGCUGGCGGCAGGCUUAACACAUGCAAGUCGAGCGCCCCGCAAGGGGAGCGGCAGACGGGUGAGUAACGCGUGGGAAUCUACCCAUCUCUACGGAAUAACGCAUGGAAACGUGUGCUAAUACCGUAUACGUCCUUCGGGAGAAAGAUUUAUCGGAGAUGGAUGAGCCCGCGUUGGAUUAGCUAGUUGGUGGGGUAAAGGCCUACCAAGGCGACGAUCCAUAGCUGGUCUGAGAGGAUGAUCAGCCACACUGGGACUGAGACACGGCCCAGACUCCUACGGGAGGCAGCAGUGGGGAAUAUUGGACAAUGGGCGCAAGCCUGAUCCAGCCAUGCCGCGUGAGUGAUGAAGGCCCUAGGGUUGUAAAGCUCUUUCACCGGUGAAGAUUAUGACGGUAACCGGAGAAGAAGCCCCGGCUAACUUCGUGCCAGCCGCCGCGGUAA